GACGAACGCUGGCGGCGUGCUUAACACAUGCAAGUCGAACGGAAAGGCCCUGCUAUUUUGGUGUGCUCGAGUGGCGAACGGGUGAGUAACACGUAAGUAACCUGCCCUUGACUUUGGGAUAACUUCAGGAAACUGGGGCUAAUACCGGAUAGGAUCUCCCGUUGCAUGGUGGGGGUUGGAAAGUUUCGGCGGUUGGGGAUGGACGAGGGGCUUACCAGCUUGUUGGUUGGGUAGUGGCUGACCAAGCCGUUGACGGGUAGCCGGCCUGAGAGGGUGACCGGCCACAUUGGUACUGAGGUACGGCCCAGACGCCUAUGUGGGACAGCGGUGGGGAGUAUUGUACAAUGGUACGAAGCCGGAUGCAGCGACGCCGCGGGCGGGAUGACGGCCUGCGGGUAGUAAACCGCAUUCGCCUGUGACGAAGCGGGAGUGACGGUAAUGAGUAAAGAAGCACCGGCUAACUACGUG
rnacentral:rRNA from 1 species